UAUGACUUACUAUUGAUUUGUAAAUAUGAGAUGUUAGUAUAUAAUUUGGUGAUUGGUAGAUAAUGUGGAAGAUAUGUAUGGAAGGUUUAUCAGAUACCUUAGAGAAGGGUGUACGGACCCGGUGCAUAGGAAAAACCCUACUAUGGGCAUUACCUCAGUCGAACGGGGCUGAAAAGUUUCAUACUGGAAGGGGUUGGAAGGUAUUAUUCACCCUCAUACGAGAGGGGAUAUUAAGGCGGUGGUACGUUUUGGGGUCCAUUACCGGACGUGAUAUGAGAAU
rnacentral:lncRNA from 1 species